GGUAAUAACAAGGGUUGAGGCUCACGACAGUGCCAAAUAAGCUUUAGACAGCAUAAUAGUCUGCAAAGAAAGCCACAGAGCACUAAUGUGAAGGAAGAGCUGUCCACCACAUGCAGCAAAAAUCACCAAAGGUCAUUUUAUGGUAGCAAUUGUGACAUAAAAUUGGUGGUCAUGCUACAUGCCUAAUACUCAGCACAGCUUUAUAAAUGAUGGGCCCCUAGCGACGGCUGUCAUUAAGUGCUUUCAUCAUAAUAAACUUUAAACUGUUGGCUUUAUGAAUCGCCAGCUAGCUUCAGCUGUUCGUUGGAUGGAGCUUGCAGUGCCUUAAGUGUGACAAGACCUAUUAGGAAUUGCAACCAUGUUUCAAGCGUACUUGGCUUCCCCACUCCUGGGGUGAUUGCUGCCUAUUAAACGGCGUCUGGGAAGAUUUUCCUCCAGCAAUCUCUGAUCAAGAGCUUUUUUGGGCUUUGACCUGCAUUUCCUUCAAGACUUUCUCUGAGGAGUUUUAUAAGAGCAAAACUCCAGAGGAUUUAUAGCCACUUCUGAUUAAUACCUUUCCAGUUUUUCUAGCAACUCUCCCACUGCUGCACAGAGAAAAGCUUUCAUUGUUCCUGAGAUGCUUAUUUGUGACCUUUUCUCUGCUUCCUGAUUCCCUCUAACGUGUUCUCUGAGUGAAAUCCUCGGGGUGGAACCAAGGCAGUCGGUGAAGUUGUUACAGCUGGAGAGACAGAGGAGGAAAGAGGGAGGCUUUUAUAUUUUUAAAGAAUUACAUGCAGGGCAGUCUGGCCCCGCCCAUUUAAAAUACCCGCUGUUACGUCACGGGCCGCUGCCAUACCAAAAGCAUCCUUAAUGAGCCCUCGGUGUAAACCGAGCCGACACGUAAAGAUUUCAUGAUUCGAAUUACACUUUCAGUAACCUUUAGCAUAGGAAGUCUUUUAGUUUCCAUAAAUCUUACAGUGGCUUACCGUCUGUCCAACUGAUGUGAAUAAUAGAUGUUUGGGGAAAUCGCUCUUUAAAAACCCAGGGUAUUUAAUUUACAAGGGCUAAAUACGUAUUUCAGACUUACUCAGCAAGAACUUUAAUUACUUCUUGUUGAUUUUUCUAACUUGGAGGUCGCCCCCCCCACUUCAGUUUUCUUCUGCUUGACUCAGGUUUUAGAGAUGGUAAACGCUUUCAAUGUCUAAGUCCCUGCCUUAAUACUCUUAUUAGUCUUUUAAGCUAAGUAAUGUCCUCCAGAUAGUUACGGGAAUGUCUCAGGUGUGGACCAUUACACAAUUAAAUUAGCAAACCUCAGAGGGAUUGGAUUAGGACUCAGCACUCAGCAGGGAACACCUGGGGAUGCUAGGACCGAGCUGGGUUUCUGAAGAGCAGGGCUCUGGCCAUGAAUAAAUAGUGAGGGUCGGCCCGCUAGGUAGCCUCAGUGAAAAACUUGUCUUACCAGGUAAAGUAUUGCAGGCUAAACUAUUUUUUCCUGGGAGUAGGUUUCUGUGGCCGUCGGAGCGAACAGGACAACCAUCAGCCAAUGUGGCAAGCCGAAGGGAAAACAAGAGUUGGAGGACUCGUGGCUUUUCACGUACAAAGGCAUCCGCCCAUCCCUCCCCGCGAGCCAGCCAGGGAUGGACAAGUGCAUUUGGAGGCUGCUGCCCAGGUGCAAGGGGUGGGGGCAGGGCGGGCUGCAGAAUGCCCCAGAACAAAGGCGCCUCCAGGGGCCCGUGCAGAGGUCACCUGCUGCCUCCAGGGCAGAUUAAGGAGGACUGGAGAGGGCAUUCGGAGGAAAUGGUGCUGUUUUUCUUUGGGAAAUCAAUUCGUCCCACGCUUAAUAGGACAUUUUGCCCUCCCUCCUUGGGAGUCCUGGGCAAUGUGCUUCCAGGUCUCUCCAAAUCAAGUUCGGAAAGAGGUGGCCCCUUGGCCUGCCCGAGCUCCUUCAAACAGCCUGUGCCCACCCCACCCCCCAAGAAUCUCUCCUGCUCUCGGCCAGGUCUCACUUCCCUUUUCUCCCUCCUUUGGGCUCUCCCGCCCCUCUCUACCCAGGCUCCUUUCAUAAGGAGGCUGAAAGUGGAACUUUCCCUCACUCCCUUACUUUGAGUUUUCUUUUUUCCCAGUGACCUGGGCUGCACUUUGCCCCCACUCCCUGGCUGCCAAUCUCCUCAGGGUUCGGGCCUCUCUCUUGCCAUUCUUGCGGGCUCCCCCUCCUUGAGAGCUCCGGGAGGCCCAGCCUUCCAGAAUCCGAUCUCCUUCCAACACUGCAGACCCCCUGUGGAGGAAGGAAGAGGCUUCCUCCGAAUGAAUGGCCGCUACCAUGUGAAAAAGCCCAGGCUAUCCUGCUAGACACUGGAGAUGUGUGGCCCACUCAUCCCCAUCAUUCCAGCCAUGUGAGUGAAGGCAUCCAGGACCAAACAGCCUCUGGCAGACCCAGCUGAUGACUAUAGCAUGUGAGCGAGCCAGGUGUUAUGUUCUAUAAAGUCACCGGAAGCACUGAAAUCACAAAUACUGAGCCAUUGCUACUAGGGGAUAUACGGGGUUAGGGUCCUGCGAGCCUCUGCUCACGUUUUCAUCAGUUGGAAUCUGUUGUCUUCACAGAAGGAGGGAUCUAU